GUAAAAGAGGGAGCUACACUACAACUGCAAGUAGCGAUAGCGCCCAGGAAUCAGAUGUCUCUCUUACAGCAAGAGCCUAAGGGAGAUGCCUUGUGUGGAGCAGAGGGGGAAAGAAACAAACACAGCAAAACAGAGGAAUCUACUUCUCCCUUUCCUUUCUCAUUUCUCUUACCUUACCCCCAAAUUAUCUCCUUGUACAGGCCUCUGUGAUCAAGCCCAUAUGCCUACCAGCCAAACCCUAUGGUAGGGGACAUCAGUGCCUUCACCUAAUAGUAAUUCUGCCUUCCACUCAUCCACCUGCUUUCUUUCUGUUCUGCCAGACAUUGCAGGGAGAAAAUUAGAGUGAGGAGCAGAAAGAUUUU